rnacentral:rRNA from 1 species
AGAGUUUGAUCCUGGCUCAGGACGAACGCUGGCGGCGUGCUUAACACAUGCAAGUCGAACGAUGAAGCCCAGCUUGCUGGGUGGAUUAGUGGCGAACGGGUGAGUAACACGUGAGUAACCUGCCCUUGACUCUGGGAUAAGCCUUGGAAACGAGGUCUAAUACCGGAUAGGAGCACUCAUCGCAUGGUGGGUGUUGGAAAGAAUUUCGGUCAUGGAUGGACUCGCGGCCUAUCAGCUUGUUGGUGAGGUAAUGGCUCACCAAGGCGACGAUCAGUAGCUGGUCCGAGAGGAUGAUCAGCCACACUGGGACUGAGACACGGCCCAGACUCCUACGGGAGGCAGCAGUGGGGAAUAUUGCACAAUGGGCGCAAGCCUGAUGCAGCGACGCCGCGUGAGGGAUGACGGCCUUCGGGUUGUAAACCUCUUUCAGUAGGGAAGAAGCGAAAGUGACGGUACCUGCAGAAGAAGCACCGGCUAACUACGUGCCAGCAGCCGCGGUAAUACGUAGGGCGCGAGCGUUAUCCGGAAUUAUUGGGCGUAAAGAGCUCGUAGGCGGUUUGUCGCGUCUGCCGUGAAAGUCCGGGGCUUAACCCCGGAUCUGCGGUGGGUACGGGCAGACUAGAGUGCAGUAGGGGAGACUGGAAUUCCUGGUGUAGCGGUGAAAUGCGCAGAUAUCAGGAGGAACACCGAUGGCGAAGGCAGGUCUCUGGGCUGUAACUGACGCUGAGGAGCGAAAGCAUGGGGAGCGAACAGGAUUAGAUACCCUGGUAGUCCACGCCGUCAACGAUGAGGGUUCGCCCUUGGUCGAGACAGACCUUCCCCGGGUCCGAUCGGGGGCCAAGCUCACGCGUUAAGCACUCCGCCUGGGGAGUCUUAUCGCAAGAUUGAAACUCAAAGGAAUUGACGGGGGCCUGCGCAAGCGGUGGAGCAUGUGGUUUAAUUCGAUACUACGCGCAGCACCUUACCG